rnacentral:rRNA from 1 species
AUUGAACGCUGGCGGCAGGCCUAACACAUGCAAGUCGAACGGUAACAGGAAGCAGCUUGCUGCUUCGCUGACGAGUGGCGGACGGGUGAGUAAUGUCUGGGAAACUGCCUGAUGGAGGGGGAUAACUACUGGAAACGGUAGCUAAUACCGCAUAACGUCGCAAGACCAAAGAGGGGGACCUUAGGGCCUCUUGCCAUCGGAUGUGCCCAGAUGGGAUUAGCUAGUAGGUGGGGUAACGGCUCACCUAGGCGACGAUCCCUAGCUGGUCUGAGAGGAUGACCAGCCACACUGGAACUGAGACACGGUCCAGACUCCUACGGGAGGCAGCAGUGGGGAAUAUUGCACAGUGGGCGCAAGCCUGAUGCAGCCAUGGCGCGUGUAUGAAGAAGGCCUUCGGGUUGUAAAGUACUUUCAGCGGGGAGGAAGGGAGUAAAGUUAAUACCUUUGCUCAUUGACGUUACCCGCAGAAGAAGCACCGGCUAACUCCGUG